rnacentral:rRNA from 1 species
AUGAAAAUCGUAAGCUGGAACUGCCGGGGACUCGGGAAUGGCCCGGCAGUUCGCAGCCUGCUCGAUUUGGGGAGGAGAGAGGAGCCCGACAUACUGUUCUUAGCGGAGACAAAGUUGACGGUGAAGGAGCUGGAAAGAUUUCGGUGGAUAUUAGGGCUAACGCAGAUGAAUGCUUGGAACCCGGUUGGAAGAAGCCGAGGGCUGGCGAUGUUUUGGAGG